rnacentral:rRNA from 1 species
GACGAACGCUGGCGGCGUGCCUAAUACAUGCAAGUCGAGCGGACAGAAGGGAGCUUGCUCCCGGAAGUUAGCGGCGGACGGGUGAGUAACACGUGGGCAACCUACCCUGUAGAUCGGGAUAACAUCGAGAAAUCGGUGCUAAUGCCGGAUAAUCAUUUGAAGUGCAUGCUUCGAAUGUAAAAGAUGGCUCCGGCUAUCACUACGGGAUGGGCCCGCGGCGCAUUAGCUGGUUGGUAAGGUAAUGGCUUACCAAGGCAACGAUGCGUAGCCGACCUGAGAGGGUGAUCGGCCACACUGGGACUGAGACACGGCCCAGACUCCUACGGGAGGCAGCAGUAGGGAAUCUUCCGCAAUGGACGAAAGUCUGACGGAGCAACGCCGCGUGAGUGAUGAAGGUUUUCGGAUCGUAAAGCUCUGUUGUUAGGGAAGAACAAGUGCCGUUUGAAUAAGGCGGCACCUUGACGGUACCUAACCAGAGAGCCACGGCUAACUACGUGCCAGCCGCCGCCGUAACAC